AAAAUUAACUAAUAACAUCUUUCUCAACUCUAAGUUUCAGCAGACUAUUUUUCUUUGCUUUAGCUGCAUAGCCACAGUCGGUAGUCCCUUCUCUCACCUUGUUCUCUUCAUCUCGUCCCUCUUUGGCAACCCUCACUGAGUCAGUUUCCCAUCUCACCUCUGCAUAAAAUCCUCACCCCUCAAUCUUGUCGCAGUAUAGGUGAAAGGAAAGCAUCGCUAGCCCCUUGACAUCGCCGAUGCUUAUCCUUCCUACAUCACUGAAGCAGCUCGUCAACGCUUCGCACUAGGUUUACUUGAACCAAGCCUACAGGCCUUAAGACUUGGUGGGAAUCCAUUGAGAAGGCUGAUCAUAUGUGGAUGUAUAAUAGACUUGUGCCAAGUCGGAAAGGGGUCAUUACUGAGUUCAUUAAUGGUGUGCGUGGAUUUAUAGAGUUUGCACUAACGCAACACAACUUUGUUUCUAAUGGGAGUAUAAAGUGCCCAUGUUCAAGAUGUGAAAAUAGUGGGUUUCUCACAACAGAUAUUAUUACUGCGCAUUUAUACAAGUUUGGGUUCAUGCCUAACUAUUAUCAUUGGGUUUCACAUGGGGAGCCUUUUAUACCAAUUUUGAGGCCAGAAUCUGGUGUGCAUGAAGGCACUGAAAGAGUAGCUGAUAGUAUACCAGUAAAUCCAUACCGCACUAUGGUAUUUGAAGCUGUUGGUCCUUAUUUCAACUUUGAUUGUGAUGGAUUUGAUAUGGAUGAUGAAGAAGAACCUCCAAAUCGAAAUGCUCAAGACUUUUUUGAGAUGUUAAGAGCUGCAGAAGAGCCAUUGUUGUAACACCCUUCACCCGACUACAAUGUAGCCGAGCAAGGCGUGCUACAUUCGGUGCUGGAGCACCCUAUCUUAUCUUACUUUAUUCCUUUAAUCAUUUUCAAGUUAUUAUCUUUUAAUAUCAAUUAUUUUUCGACAGAGAAUCUAAUGAAGUUUUCCCUAUUUUAUUAA